GGUGGACACAGAUGUUAUCUUCAUUUUGGUGGAGUGGUUAAGUGUGCGGACUCUAAUCUGGGAGAACCGGGUUUGAUUCCCCACUCCUCCACUUGCAGCUGCUGGAAUGGCCUUGGGUCAGCCAUAGCUCUGGCAGAGCUGUUCUUGCUCAAGAACAGUUUCUGUCAGAGCUCUCUCAGCCCCACCUACCUCACAGGCAGUGUUCCCUCUAAGCGGAAUGAGCGUGAGCUAGCUCACAGGUUUUUAGCCUCCAGCUCACACAUUUUUGUUUUAGCUCAGGAAGGAGGAUCCCAGAGCGCACCAAU